AGUGAACGCUGGCGGUAGGCCUAACACAUGCCAGUCGAACGGCAGCACAGUAAGAGCUUGCUCUUACGGGUGGCGAGUGGCGGACGGGUGAGGAAUACAUCGGAAUCUACUUUUUCGUGGGGGAUAACGUAGGGAAACUUACGCUAAUACCGCAUACGACCUACGGGUGAAAGCAGGGGAUCUUCGGACCUUGCGCGAUUGAAUGAGCCGAUGUCGGAUUAGCUAGUUGGCGGGGUAAAGGCCCACCAAGGCGACGCUCCGUAGCUGGUCUGAGAGGAUGAUCAGCCGCACUGGAACUGAGACACGGUCCAGACCCCUACGGGAGGCAGCAGUGGGGAAUAUUGGACAAUGGGCGCAAGCCUGAUCCAGCCAGACCGCGUGGGUGAAGAAGGCCUUCGGGUGGUAAAGCCCUUUUGUUGGGAAAGAAAAGCAGCAGGUUAAUACCCCGCUGUUCGGACGGUACCCAAAGAAUAAGCACCAGCUAACUUCGU
rnacentral:rRNA from 1 species